rnacentral:lncRNA from 1 species
AUUCAGCCUUCUGUGAGAAACAAAAGCUUUAAGGGAAAAACGUUAUGCCAAAACUAAAAGGAAAACCAAAAUCAAAAUCCAAUUCAGAUCUCUACAUUCUUGAAAAGUUCCUGCAGACAUAUGAAAAGCAUUGUAUGCUCUCCCAAACUUGUAUCAGUCCAACUAUAAAACAAGGUUUACAGAAAUGUAUAUCAAAUGAGACAUUAAUCACUAAGUUUUUGCUUACCAAUGUGGAAACCUUAUCAGGAAACCUGCAUCCAGUUUCCCUUACGCCUUUACUAAGGACAAUUCGAGAUGAACGGUAUCAGUUGGGAAAAGAACUGUGUGUUCAGGGAAUUAAGACAAGUCCUCAAGAUAUCGCAAAUCUUGCAAUCUUACUUGAGCUAGAUGGACGUACUAUCUAUCCAUUUUCAAAAUUAGAAAUAACUCAUCAAGUGUUAGAUCUCUGGAGCACGGACAGACUUGGAGUAGCUUUGCCUUACAGCAAUCUGAAUUCUCUUGUAUUGGAUUAUUCAAAAUGUGGAGAUGAUGGUAUCAAUAGGCUUACUUCUGGAUUAGAGGGCAACAGGAAGCUUUUAACUCUGAGUUUUUGCUACUGUGAUUUAGGACCUGAAAGUGGGACAACACUAGCCAGACUUGUAACACAAACUGCCAUUUGUAACCUGUUCCUUAAUGGUAACCACUUGCAAUGUCUGGGUGCCAUUGAACUCCUCAAACCAAUAGCAGAGUAUGCAGAAAAGCUUGGACAAGAAAAGAAGGCAAAUGCUUUGGCAUACAGCAACGAUACUGCUCACGAGAAUCUAGAUGUAAACAAAGCCACGACUAUUCAUUCAAAAGCUGUCAGUUUGAUAACCAAUUCCAAAAGAAAUAGUUCUACUGAAAUGGAAAGCAAUGGAAAGAAAAAGAAAAGAAAAGGCUUUAAAAAAAGAAGUAAGAAACCUGACCCAGGCCCAUGGUUAGCAAAACUGCAUUUGUCUGAUAAUGCUAUAGAUGGAAAGUUUAACCAAGGAGAGAAGAACCUGUGGAAGUUCAUUCUGCUUUUGACCUGUCUGAUCAAGAAUUCUCACCAUCUUGUGGAAGCUGAUAUUAAUGGCAAUGCCAUAGGUGAACAGUGUGCAGUCAAGAUACUGGAAGCUCUUCAGGACCGAAAGAAAGGUGUGACGAUUCUGAUGAAUAGUUUAAAUAUGCCUUCUUAUAUAUCUGUGAAGAUUUCAUUCCUGUGCAGGCUUACCUGGCAGCAAGCAGCACAGAAUAUAAUGGAGAAACAGGGUGGUACUGUGAUCCCUCCUCUGGCCGUACCUAGCCCAUCUGGAACCCAUUUUAGUUUAACCAUACACUGA